AUCAGGAAGAAGAAUAAGGUUAAGGACUCCAGUAAUCCAGAUCAAUACCUAAAAUAGUAACGAAGGGUCCAGGAAGAACCUUGCUAGAAGUACAAAUUUUUAGAGAUAGGUUAAAAUACCAAGGAUGAGUAAUCUUCAAGAGAUAUAUGGGCCAGUCUGUUGAUGACGUCAGUCGUUCUAGGACUAUAGCUCCUAGGGAGCCUGGGUCGAACGUAAAACGAAGAACGGGUAACGUCGGCGCCGGACGUCGAGACGGUCCUCCUCCUGGAACCCCCUUAACAACGGGAGAGCAACGCACCCUAUUUCUAUUCACAAGCCCUGCAAUCACAGCACAAUUUACACUGGAGGCUCCUCCGUACUCAGUUUACCCCUUUUUGCAUCAGGAUUCGGCAGCCCGUUAAUUGGAUCACUUUCUCAGGUUAUGAAAUUUACUUUUUUUUAGAAAGACAAUUUUUUUCUAAAAAUUACCUCAAUACUUUUUUUCUAUUCGUUCUAGUACUUUAUAUGCUGGAGGAUGAGCCCUUGGGUGUGAUGCUCAUGCCGUGACACACGAACUUUCCCUGCAGAGAUGAACUUUCUCUAUCGUAACGACUCUCGGUCGACUCGGUACCUCCACGCUUAAUUACUCCGUUCCCGCUGGCUGUAAGCACUGAAUUAUCACGCUUCACGAUUAACCGAGUGGCUGCUAGAAAUUCAAAUUCCACGUUCAACGAACCUGCGUAACUUCAAGGUUACAACCUACGGAUUGACCUGCGGCCAGGUUGUCUGCUGCGCACUUUCAAUGGAGUCAACGAAAAAGUACUGUUAAUCCGUGACAAGGACGCUUGCCUUGAUUCGAUGUCGCUAAAGUAUGCAGUAUCCUGAGCAAUGGAAACGUCCGCAAUCUCUUCUUGUAGGAGGACGACUUAUCCUACUGCGUGGUACACCGCAUUUCCGUUCCCAGAGGCAUUUUAUUGACUUAUAGUAAUUAGAUAUGCCAAAGGACUUUGUAACAUGAAAAUGAUUAAGGCUACAUAUCAAGACCGUUGAUGCAGAUAAAAUGGACGUUCACUGUUAUAAGUGUCGCUACUGCAAGAACUGACGUGCAGAGACCUCAAUACCUAGGAAUAUAACAAAAUGCCCAGUUCUUUCUCGGCAAGCAUUCAAGUCUUUGGGAAAGUUCAAGAUUAGUAUGGAAGGUGCGACUUAUUGCAAGAAUAGAAAAAAGGAAAUACGUCCUCGGAGUAAAUUAUAAGGGAGACGUCCACGCGAAGAUGACUAUCGUCUGACUCACCGUCUAGAUAAAUAUCGAUUAGCAACCCCAAUCGAGUCAGCUGGUCACGUUCCAAUGGGAAUAAAAAUAAAGAAGCGAAUACGUAGUUCGCUUGGUAGUCCUUAAAAAGAUACAAUCAAGAUUUGCAUAUCGUCCUUUCUAUACAGUCAGCCGUUUUGUCCUCUGUGCGUAUAAAAUUAUUUAGAUUAUAAAAGCGAUCGCAUCUGGUUCAACGUUCCGUACGAAUUUACACUUUUUCCACGUUGCGAAUGACUGACGUUCUUCAGCCAAGAAGAAUUCACUUCUUUAUACACGUCACAGAAUACUGGUACCAGCCACUACCCAUUGGGUAUGAUAAAACGUUUUUUCUUUUUCAUUCAGGAAAGUUGGAAACUUCCUUGAUAAGGUAUUCCUACGCUACGCUCACUCAGUCCGGUAUCGAAGCUGGCCUGCUGCUGGCUCAUGGUACGCCAUUUCUCAUGACUUGCUCGCAAGUAGGUGGAACGUGAGCCUGUCGUGCAAUACUUCAAUCAUCAUGAGUCGCCGUCAUCGCAAUUAUCGCAAUCAUCGUGCUAUGUAGCAGCGCCAACCAGUUUGAUGCCGCCAUUGUGAAGCACUGUCCGAGCGAGGCAUUUUGUGUAACAAUAUCUACUGCUUUGCUUGGGAAUAUAUUAUUGCAAGAGGAAAAUAAUACUGAUACCAUGUAAGAUGCAAGAUAAUUCCAAGAUAAUUAGAAAGCGACGUGAACACCAAUUUUUCGUUAAAUUAUUCUGUUAGCUUGGGAAUCAAUGGAGUCGUAAAUUGUAUAGUAUCCGUGAUACAGAAGUACCGAAAAUAAACUAGGCGUGAUGGAAUUCUUAAUGUAAAAAGUACACGCUAGAUGUCAGUCAGAACGUUGGAAAAAGCCGAAAUAUAUUAUUCUGUGCGAAAAGACUCAUAGAGUCUGUAUCGUUGGGUUGCUUAAGGGGUUAUGUAUACGGUCAGCAGGCCCAGAAAAAUCGAUUUUUCAAGAAUUUUUCUUAAGAAGACCUUUUAAUGUAUUAAUGUAAAAAUUUGUACACAUAUUAUGGUAACUUUUAACUGUAUUUUAACAAAUUUUUUAUUUGUAAAAAUAAUUAUUUUCAAAGCUGCUAUAGGUGAUCUCCGGGAGCACCUCUAAAAAAAGGCGUCUUGCGGUGAGAACGAUAUCUCUGGACUGGAUCAUUUAAAAUGAAAAAACCAAAAAUAUUUCAUUAAUAUAAUGUAUUAUCUUGUAAUUCGUCGAAGGAAUAAGCAAAAUAAUAAAUUUGACAAAACGGGGGCUUCUCAAAAAAAAAUCGGUUUUUGACAAAAAUUUAGGCCUUAAAUUGUUUAUAAAAUGGAAAAUAUUUAUCAGUGAGAAAAAACCUUCGAUUAAUUACUAAAAAAUAUACUUAAAAAGCUUGUGUUAAAGUUUCAGACUGAUCGGUUCAGCCGUUUUCGAGAAAUCUAGCUCAUCGACUUUAAAAACACAGGUUUGACAAAAACGCGUUUAAAGUUUCAAAGUACUUUGAAAGUACGUUAAAACGCUUUGCCACGUCAUUACAAAUGUGCCUGUAACUUCGAGAAUAUUCGCCGGAUUGACAAGAAAUUUUUUUGUGUACGUACUUAAAUACAUGUACAUUACGAAAAUAAAGUGAAAAAAAAAUCGAUUUUUUGAAAAUUUGAACUGUAUAUAACCCCUUAAAAUAGAUGGACCAAUCUUAAUAAUCUCGGCGUGUCCGAAGAAAAGUGGAGUACAGUCAAGUUGCCAAUUUAAGAGACUAGAGUGUAUCUAUAAUAAAAAUAUAUUACAGAACGUAUUUCUCGAAUGGUAACCACACCGAAAAUAGCAGGUGCGAAUUUACGAUAACCACAAAACAAAGUGACUGCGCCACGUUGGACGAAAAUAGCACCAAACGAGAAUCGGUUAGCAUAAUCCAUGGAAAGAACCAGUCCCAAAGAAAAUACGACCGUCCAGGAACUUAAGAUGCCCACUAAGAACGAACGUGAAAGUUCGAGACCCGAAAAAUCUCUAAUUUCACAAAACCUAAAAAGGGCUUUGGGUAUAGGACCAUCUAUUCUAUUGCCAGGUAGCGAAAGCACAAAGAAUUCUACACAGACGUACUUCUUUGUCAGGAUGACAUUCGUGCGUCCCUCAAGCUGAAACGACGUCAAGCCCACGAGGAGUUAGACCAAUCAUAUCUGAAAAGGAGUUCUCCCUCGCGCUAACUAUACUACAAGGCGAUGCACAAAUGCUACCAUAAAUACAGGAAGAUACUAUUUGCUGGCAAAGAGAGUGUGCUUGCUCAAGUUUCUGAUUCAUCGAUCAAAGAAGCUGUUAACGACAAAAAUUGGCAACCGUACCAGGUUAAAGAAAGAAAGGAUGGAAUCUGCCUCUAGAAUAAUUUCAGGACACUUUCAGUACUACUACCCGGGUACAAAAUAUUCAAAUCCCUAUAUAAGUCUACUGACGUAGCUAUACGCAUAGAUGUCACUGCACGUACAUGGAUAAAGCACGUCUGUACGUAUAAAGAGUGAAACGGUAAAAGGCACGAUGACGUUGGGACGUGAAUCAUCGAUCAAAGAAAACAUAACCGGAAGCAUAUGAGUUAAUGAAUAUUCUACCAAUUAUGUCUUCCCUACGUUUCAAGAAUAAUGCACCAGGUGUAACGUGACCUUGAAUUUUUCCAGAUUCUACAGUAGCAGCCAAUUCCAUUCGCAUGCAGAUUACACUGAAGGGUAGUGACUUGAAGGUUAUGUGCUUUUAGGCCUGCCUUAAGAUUCUGUCAGGAGAGGCCGAAGGCUGUAGGACUGUAAUGGCGAGUGCGGGUAUUCGCAAAGGAGAAUGAAGUCUGCAGAGGGAAUGAACGAAUAGGAGCGGGGGCUUAAUUUCGCCGAGCUCAUAUAAAGGACAAAGAGUGAACUAGUGUAAUGCUGGCUUCACAUGUGGGCAACGGUUAGCGGCCCACACACGACCAUUUAAGUCUACCUACGACAUAGCAAGACGAUAAAAAUUAUUUGUCCGACCACGAGGUUGGGCCGAUAAUCAAUAUGGCGGAUAUGGAUUCUGGGUUUGAGAAAAGCCAAAAAAAAGAGUAAUAAGAAUCUAAGUGAUACGGAUAACCAAGAACUUAACAAGCAUGCGGUCGGAUACGUAUGAAAAAUACAUUUAGAGAAAAGCCCAGCAAGGAAAUCAUGCCGGAUCCUAAUGCACGUCUACUUUCCAGUGUAAAUCGGACGGAAGGUUUAUGAUUCACGUAAGAAAAGUAUGGCGGCGAGGCGUAACGAAAGAUACUAGAUUUUAAUCUUAAAAAUAAAAAAAAAUAAAAUCGUAUCCUUCUUAGUAAAUGACGAAGCGGUAAACAAGUCAUCGGUGUGCGUUAUGAAUGAAGAUCUCUUAAAGCGUUAACUAUACAAGCCCAAGAGCGUUCGUAUCAAAGAUAUUUAGAUGAUCAGGAUGAAAUUAUAAAUAUAAUCAAAUCUCUUAAAGAAUCUUGUAAACAUUGCGAAACGCCGAUAAACGAACGUACAUGCGUGCCUGAAAUAGGUACUGCGCGUGAAUUCUUUCACUUUCACGUCCCUUUCGACAUUUUCUUUUCAUCUCAUAUUCCCCAUUGCCGAAUCUACGCGAUCGCCAUCUUACGCAAGCGUGAAGUUUCGUUUUUCUUUUACCGUUUCUUCUAAAUUACGUAUACCGGUAGCCUCGUUGCUGGCACACAAAGUGCGAAAGGCAAACAUUGUCUCCCUGUAAAUGGGUCGUGGUAGUAAGCGUUUCACGGUGGAUUCAAGUCAAACAAUCUGUUCGGUUUACUAUCGUAUCGAGUCAAUAUGAGGAUAAUGGCUUUUAUGCAAGUCAAGUAUCAGAUAAAUAAUGAACGACAAACCAUUGAGGUAUAGAGGAAUGAAUUAUGAAUUCCAACUAAUAUAAAAGUCUCUUUUGUAUUAUAUAAUGUAGUUACACGAGCUUGAAUUUACAUUGAAUUAUAGGAAAAGGAAUACACUGAUAUUCCAUGUAUGCUGAAAACUGAAUCGCUGUAAAGAAAGUAUCGAGGCGUAAGAACGAAUGGCUUCUUGGCAGAGACUCCAUGUUCUCCAUAGAAGGAUGGGAAAGGCCUUGCAAGUCUCGAGAAACUUCAUCGACUGUGUGUAUAUAUGUAUGUGGUCGUGUAUAUAUAAAGUACAUAUGGUUAAACGUAGAAUGAAUAGUUUAAGAUGAGGAAAGUCGUGACGAAUUCUUAUGUCUAUCUUUUGACUCUGACUCUUUAUAAGACUGGAAUGAGACUGAAUAUUCUAGUGUCUAACGAUUUUUUUUUAAACAAAAACUAAAUGGCCUCGUCGUUUUCUUUCCUGAUAUAAGUCUAAGGACAAAUAAUAUUUCCUUGAUUGAGGUAAACGAGGGUCUCCUAAAAAACUGAGUGUAUAAAACUAUGUAUACAUAUAUACGUAAUUAACUACAUAUUUAUAUUAUAUAUGUAAAAUGCAUGUAACCAGCUGACAUGAAUAUCAAUAGGAAAAUGACUGGUCCCGCGGGUGCUGAGAAUGACACAAAGAAUAAUUGUAAUUACUGUAGAUUAAAGAAAGAACGGACAAGAGUCGCGAGAACCAAGAGAUUAAUAGCGUUUAAGUAAAUUCUCUUUGUUAUAAUUUCUCGUGAUACGAUAACCCUGUUGGUAUAUACGUUUGACCGGUAUUGACAGUGCACUGUCACUUGACAGAAGAGUAAUGUCAACGAACUCACUUAGCUCCAAGUACAAACAAAUUACUAUUACAAAUACAAGACCGGAUUAACCAAACGAAUUUUAUGGUUGAUUUCAAGCAUUUAAUUUAGCCGGAUAAACACUGUCAAUCGUACACCACACAUGAGUGAAGGCCAAUGAUCAGCUGAAAAUUGCCGCGAAAACCAUGUGUGUCAAUAAAUAGUAUUGAAAGAAUGAUAAUUCCAAUUGUCAGAUCCCAGCAUUCAUUCGAAUUUUUCAUUAGUAAUCCCAUCAGCUGACACUGACGAAAUUAAGGAGCCAGACAAUGCUAUCAAAGAUACAAAGGAUUUUAAGGUACCCGGAGCGAUACCCCGCCCAGCUGAGAAAGGUGCGUAGACAGUGGCGAGGGCAUGCUUUUCUAGAUUGUAAAUAAACCAAAAGGAUUCAGAGUGAAGAGGAUGAAAAAGAAGAAAAAAUAGUCCUCCAUAUAUGCAGGCAGUGGAAUGCAGAGGAGAGACAGCUUCGUGGGGGUUACGUAGGGAACGUGCAUGCGUGCUCAUACAUGCACGGGUUACUGGCUUUGAGUAAUAGCAGCAGCAGCAGCAACACUUCCGAUUAUAAAAGGCGGCUCUCAUUUCG